CCUCAGCUCUAGAAAAGUUGCCUCCUCAGUUGCUCCAGAAAUGUUGCCUCCUCAGUUGCGCCACCUAUAUUUCCUUUAAAAAAGAAAAACUUUUCCCCUUCUCUGUACCGUUGGUUCCCCCUAAAGUCUUUCCAUCUUCCUCUUCCAUACUCUUCGUCUCCCAAACAAACCCCCAGUAUGCUUCGAUCUAGCUGCAAAUUCCUCCAUGGAUGUUCUCUUCGAAGGGUCCUCAAGCUGUUCCUCUCUAUCAUUGAAGAAUUUGCUGACCUCUCAGUUGUUGCCAUUGAAGAACUUCGACAGCUCCAAUCGGUGGUUGGUAUAGGCCCUCCCUUUCUCGGAGCUCCUAUCAUUUACUCGCAGAGAUCCUUUAGUUGCCAUUAAAGACUGCACAGAUCUUAUGUAUUGCUCCAUCUCUGUCCGACAAAUCAGAUUGUUGUUGCCAUUAAAUAUAUUGCACAAAGCUACAGGUUCUCGUGUUACCAUUGAAGGCUUCGCACAGGGUCAGUUAUUCGAGCAUGAAAAGAGCAAUGCCUUGGAGUGACAAGGAAGAUGACUCUUCAAAGAGUCGUCCUCCCACUCGGGUUCUGAAUCUGACGAUGUGGAUGGAAAGACGAAGGCAAAAGACAACUCAAAGGUUGGAAAACUUUGAAAAGCAAAAUAAUGUGAAGUUAGAUUGAAGAGACGAUUAAAACUAAUUUCACAAAGGGAUAAUGAAAGCACACAGUCCAUUAAGCUGCAGAAGAUGAUUGAACAACUUGAAAAUGAAUACCAAUGUCCCGGUAGGGUUGCCCAAUACUGCCAAGCGAGGAUUCUAAGGAAGAAAUACUAAGUUUGAAGAGGAGUUCUUCAUUCUUCCGCCAUUCAGGGGUGGCCUCAGCUUCUACCCCUCCUUCUUCCAUAUCUUCGACUUCCUCGGUUCCUUCUGUUUUGGUAAAAAAAUUUAGAGAUGAAUUCACCCUCAGUUCAACGACAAGCACAAAAGUUUAAAUCAAUCUACAAAUCCUAGAGGCAGUUGACUUACUCCACAGAAAAACAUCUUUACUGUCCGAGCAACAAUGGAUAGAAUAGACGACAAUUGCACAUGGUGCUAUAUCGCAUGUGAAGUUUGUAUGAAGAAGCUUGCAAAAGAUGGUGACCAUUACAAUUGCAAUGCAUGCAGAAUGAAUUCAAAGUUACCCACUGCAAGUUUCGGAGUUAUUAACCAUUCAAAAUGGUGAUUGUCAAAAGAUACCUCAACUGCUUCGAAAUCUGUUGCGGCAUGACUCUCAUUUUCAAAAUCGAGUCGAAUGACAACAAUCUCAAGGAAGGCUGGUAGAACUACACCAUCACGAAGACCUUCAUCCUGAAUGCGUUUCUAGAAGAACAACAUCAAGAAAAGAUGCAUCAACAGAACUCUUUCCGAGAUGAAUCCCAAUCAAAAGAUGAAGAUCAAAGAUCACUUCACCAGGAGGACGAAGAGGCACCCAAACGAGGUUCCUCGGACUCACAACUCCACAACAAAAAAGGGGGAAAGGUUAGAGAUUGAUCAGGAACCAGAGAAUGCUAGCCCAAAAACAUCAAAUCAGAUCAUGUCCACGCCUGGCGAGGAACUCAACAUGCCAAAAGAUUAAAAGAAGACCUCAUUCAAGUAGAAACUUAAGCACCAUUGAUAGAUAGAUAGAGAUAUUUAUAUAUCCAAAUAUCAAAAAGUAAUUUCAGAACGAUUGUCAUUACAAUUAACCGUUAUAAUAAAUUUG